rnacentral:rRNA from 1 species
CGGACGGGUGAGUAAUGUCUGGGAAACUGCCCGAUGGAGGGGGAUAACUACUGGAAACGGUAGCUAAUACCGCAUAACGUCGCAAGACCAAAGAGGGGGACCUUCGGGCCUCUUGCCAUCGGAUGUGCCCAGAUGGGAUCAGCUAGUAGGUGGGGUAACGGCUCACCUAGGCGACGAUCCCUAGCUGGUCUGAGAGGAUGACCAGCCACACUGGAACUGAGACACGGUCCAG